rnacentral:rRNA from 1 species
AGAGUUUGAUCAUGGCUCAGAACGAACGCUGGCGGCGUGGAUAAGACAUGCAAGUCGAACGCUGACUUUUAGGUAGCAAUAUUUGAAAGUUGGAGUGGCGCAAGGGUGUGUAACACGUGGAUCAUCUGCCGUGAAGUCUGGGAUAACUCGCUGAAAGGCGAGCUAAUACCGGAUGUGAAUGAAAAUUCAAAGUUGGGGACCGCAAGGCCUGACGCUUCACGAUGAGUCCGCGGCCUAUCAGCUAGUUGGUGAGGUAAUGGCUCACCAAGGCUAAGACGGGUAGCUGGUCUGAGAGGACGACCAGCCACACUGGAACUGAGACACGGUCCAGACACCUACGGGUGGCAGCAGUCGAGAAUUUUUCUCAAUGGGCGAAAGCCUGAAGGAGCGACGCCGCGUGGGGGAUGAAUGGCUUCGGCCCGUAAACCCCUGUCAUUUGUGAACAAAUUGCUUCACCUAACACGUGUAGCAUUGAUUGUAGCGGAAGAGGAAGGGACGGCUAACUCUGUGCCAGCAGCCGCGGUAAUACAGAGGUCCCAAGCGUUGUUCGGAUUCACUGGGCGUAAAGGGUGCGUAGGCGGUCGGGUAAGUCUGAUGUGAAAUCUCACAGCUUAACUGUGAAACUGCAUUGGAUACUAUCCGGCUCGAGGAAUGGAGGGGAGACUGGAAUACUUGGUGUAGCAGUGAAAUGCGUAGAUAUCAAGUGGAACACCAGUGGCGAAGGCGAGUCUCUGGACAUUUCCUGACGCUGAGGCACGAAAGCCAGGGGAGCAAACGGGAUUAGAUACCCCAGUAGUCC